GAUGAAGAACGUAGCGAAAUGCGAUAAGUAAUGUGAAUUGCAGAAUUCAGUGAAUCAUCGAAUCUUUGAACGCACAUUGCGCCCGCCAUUAUUCUGGCGGGCAUGCCUGUUCGAGCGUCAUUACAACCCUCAGGCCCCCGGGCCUGGCGUUGGGGAUCGGCGGAAGCCCCCUGCGGGCACAACGCCGUCCCCCAAAUACAGUGGCGGUCCCGCCGCAGCUUCCAUUGCGUAGUAGCUAACACCUCGCAACUGGAGAGCGGCGCGGCCACGCCGUAAAACACCCAACUUCUGAAUGUUGACCUCGAAUCAGGUAGGAAUACCCGCUGAACUUAAGCAUAUCAAUAAGCGGAGGA
rnacentral:misc_RNA from 1 species